rnacentral:tRNA from 45 species
CAAGGUGUAGCGCAGUCUGGUAGCGCAUCUGUUUUGGGUACAGAGGGUCAUAGGUUCAAAUCCUGUCACCUUGA